GAGGAAAGUCCGAGCUACACAGGGCAGAGUGCCAGGUAACGCCUGGGGGGCGUGAGCCCACGACAAGUGCAACAGAGAGUAGACCGCCAGUUUCGGCUGGUAAGGGUGAAAGGGUGCGGUAAGAGCGCACCGCGUGGCUGGCAACAGUUCACGGCAGGGUAAACUCCACUCGUAGCAAGACCAAAUAGGAAUCCAAUGAGUGGCCCGUUCAGGAUUCGGGUAGGUUGCUUGAGCGUAUAUGUGAAUGUACGCCUAGAGGAAUGAUUGUCCACGACAGAACUCGGCUUA
rnacentral:RNase_P_RNA from 1 species